ensembl:lncRNA
GGUCACGGUGAAGUGACUUUGAGCCUUGUCUAACUGGGCCUCUUUGAGAGCAGCCCUCGCAUUCCUGCUCACUCAGACAGUCCAUGCGGCGCUUGUUACCAGCGCCGGGGAGGAAGUUUCUGCCGGUAGGGAUUAUGCGCAGUUUCCUCAGCCCGGGAGCUUCGGCCUUGUCCCCUCCCACCGCCGAAAAAAGCAGCGAUUCCACAAAACGAGCAGGAGGGGGAAAGCGGUGCGCCACAAACUUAAACCUGCUCUUCUCGCCACCAGGCAGUGCCCGAAGGUUUCUCCUCGCACUUGCUUUUUAUAUAUUUCUAUAUUUUAAAAACAUAUCUCGAGCUCUGCUUGCGCACCACGGUACGUUUUUCAGUAGGAAACAUCCAACGUUUCGGCCAUGUUCGCAGCACCGUGGUACAGAAGUGCAUUGUAUUGGGACCCGAGUAAGGAAGGAGGGAGCGAGGGAGGAGGAGGAGGAGGAGGAGGAGGAGGAUGGUGGUGCUGGAGAAGCACACAGCUGCACGGCACACAGAAGCCGGUUUCCCAACCCUGACAGCAAGGGAGCGAGGGAACAAGGGGCCUCGCUUCAGCAGCUCCAUCCAGGAGAGAGAUGUUCUUUCUUUCUUUCUUUCUUUCUUUCUUUGUAUUUUUUAUUUUUUUUAAACCGCUCUGAAAUACAGAAUGGAUCAGGACGAGAAAGCGGAUUCUUUUCCCUUGUCCGUGGCUGGCUACUCUUAUCCACUACAAAUGUACCAUUUUGCAGCCGAAGUGGGAUACGGCGAUCUUUCUCUGUACACUCCAGUGAAUCCAGCUCCCUAUUUUAGGUAUGUAGGGCACUAUCUUCUGAAGUAGCAGAAUCGCACACCUUCUUAUCGAGGGCUCAUGAAGUCAUUGUGGCGAAGGUUUAUUUUUGGCAGAGGUCUGUGCUGUUCCCUAAUAAAGUGUCUCCAGGCACAAGUUGUUGCCCAGACUUUUCUGAAACACGGCUAUCUCCUAUCCCCGCUCCCUCCCUCCCUCCCUCCCUCCCUCACUACACACACACACACACACACAUUCUCACACAGCUUCCUUCCUUUGAGAUGUGCCGUGCUCUCCACACCGACCCUAAUGAGGACUGCUCUAGUUAAGAUAUAUUUCGAGACCUUUGGAGGAAAGGGGCCGUGUUAUUUUUCAUACGUGCGUGUGCGUCCGUGAUCUAACGGAUAGUCAGGUGGAAGUGGGGUUUUCGCUCGACCCUCCACCCCAACAGGCGUCACGCAAGGUGCAGAGCGUUUGUAACUGCCUCUCGGGCCGUAAAUGUGUCGUGCUGCCAUUUGCAGGGAAAAGAAGGAAAACCACAAUUAGCCACAGUGUUUUAUGAGCUGUUAGCUUCCAGGUGUCUGGUGGCAUGUCGAGGAACAGAAACCCCGUCCCCACCCUACAUCGCCCCACAUCACCCCACCCAACACCUCAUACGACGUGUUUCCCCAGGUAUUACGUUUCCUCACGAGGAACUGAUCUCGACAGUCUUAAAAAGCAGGAUCGUUUCUCGGCUUUUUUUUACGUGAGAACUUUUCGAGACGUGAAAGUAGACAUAGCGUGGUGGCCUUUUAUUUAUUUUAUUUCUUUAUAUAAGAAGAUUUUUUUGUGUGUGAAAUACGUAUGUGCGAUUAUAUACAUUUAUAUGAUUUUAUCCGAAAGCUGUCUAUUCAAAAAAUUCUGACUUUUCUGACUGUGAAAUUCGGAGAAGUUGCUAGUAAACCGUCGUAAUGUUAAUUUAUUUCCUUUUUUUUUUUUUAAAAAAAAGUUUUGGCACUCUAAACAUUAUCCAAAUAUACCGUUCGUGUGUGAGGUUGUACAGACGCUGCUGCGUCAGACACACACGUCAUUUGAGAGGCUGUUAUUGUUAUGAUAAGUGUGUUAAAGAUAAGACAGUCGUCGUUAAGAUAGAUUAGACACCUUAAUUGUGUCUGUUCAAAUUUUGUCAUUCUUCGUCUGCAGUAUGUCGUUAGAUCACGUUUACUGUUCAUUAUCAUUAUUAUUAUUAUUAUUAUUAUUAUUAUUGGGUUGUUUGGGUUUUUUUUGUUCAUUUAGCAAGACAAGAACACUUAAUUAAAAUCAAAUGUUUAAUUAACUGUCAUAUAAUUCACCUUUCCUUUGUACUCCUUUUACAUAAAUAAAUAAAUAAAUAAAUCCGUCCCAUUACUGUGUCUCAGGCACAAUACGACACUGUUUCAAUGACAGAUCUCCUACACUUGUCCAUUGUGUACCAUUGAGGUGCUCUGUCUGAAUUUUUGCCCCUCUCUCUCUCUAUCACACACACACACACACUCUCGCACUCUCUCUCUCACACACACACACACACACACACAGGUUUUGUUAUCAGUGAAAUGGCACUAAGGAGCUUUCUCCCCCACACAGUCCCUCACCGGGUGAGCCAUAAAAGCGAUGAUGUCAUGUCUGAGCCGGAGACUGUGGCCGUUCGCAGUGAUCCAUUUCUUAUUCAGUGCACUUGAAUGGCACAAAGCUGAGUGAAAAGGGAUUGAGAGAAAGAUAGAACUAGCCCCCCACCCCCCAAAUGAAUUUAGCACAGACAGUAUCUACGCAGUUCCCAAUCUGGACAGGUGUGUGAGCGUAAAUAAAAGGUUCGUAAUCGAGUGAAGAAAAUAGUAAUAACUUGCCCGAAGGAGACGAGAUUUUAUUUUUAGCCCAUCCCACCCCCCACCCCCCCCACCCAAUAAACAAAUAAAUAAAUAAACGUUUUCAGCUGUAUCUUUCAAAGGUGCGCAUGUGCUGUCACGGUGUGACGGCAGUGCCAGAGAUGGGAGAAGACUGGCUGUCUGAGCACAGUGGUAUUACUUCCUCCUCAUUACUAAGCCCACGGCAGGGGCUCAUUGGAAGGGCGCGACACGUCUCCUUGUCUCAGAGCCACGGUCCACUCGAAAUGACCGGGCAUCUCCUUUGAUGGCCAGGCUGACGGGCGUGGAGGCCGUUUUCAUUAGGACGUCUUCCAGGAGGGUGGGAGGGCGGAGGGGGCUGUGACUGGCGGUGUAAAGAGUAUACGAGGAAAGGGGAGUACGCCAGACACAAAAGGCAAAGGCAAAUAUUUAGUGUGAGACAAUGGCAAGGCACCAUGGGGUUAACUUGUCCUAUUGUCUGCCCGUAAUUGGAGGAGCGGCUCAAGGAGAACGUCACCGGUCGGUGCUGUUAAUGAUCCAGGCUUUGGAAGUUGGACUGACUCUGAGGAGCUGUAAAUUUGUCUCAUCACAUGGUCGUCGUGUCGCUCUCGAUUUGGCCACGUGCGACGAGCGGGCGUGCGUGCGAUACGUUUCCGGAGCCGUGCUACAUCAGGAAUAGAAAGUUAAGAAGUCACCUUGUGCAGCAUGCAGGUUUGGGUACACCUUACGUGCUGAUGUUAUCGCCUGAUGUAAAGCGACGCGUUCUCCUAACUGAAGUCUGUGACUUUCCCCAGAAGUCAUCCUGGUCGACCUAAAGGCUUUUCCACGUCGGCCAUGCAUAAGUCAUGUAGCGCUACCCUUGCGGCAGUGUGUGUGUGUGUGUGUGUGUGUAAGUCACGUGGUAGGGUGUGCAGUAAGGAAAGCACAGCUGGUAAGUUCUGCAUAUACAGAAGACUCACAGACACACACACACACACACACACACACACACACAUACAUACAUACAUACAUACAUACAUACAUAUAUAU